rnacentral:rRNA from 1 species
AUUGAACGCUGGCGGCAGGCCUAACACAUGCAAGUCGAACGAGUGGCGGACGGGUGAGUAAUGUCUGGGAAACUGCCUGGUGGCGGGGGAUAACUACUGGAAACGGUAGCUAAUACCGCAUACCAUCGGAUGUGCCCAGAUGGGAUUAGCUAGUUGGUGGGGUAAAGGCUCACCUAGGCGACGAUCCCUAGCUGGUCUGAGAGGAUGACCAGCCACACUGGAACUGAGACACGGUCCAGACUCCUACGUGAGGCAGCAGUGGGGAAUAUUGCACAAUGGGCGCAAGCCUGAUGCAGCCAUGCCGCGUGUAUGAAGAAGGCCUUCGGGUUGUAAAGUACUUUCAGCUGGGAGGCGUUACCCGCAGAAGAAGCACCGGCUAACUCCGUGCCAGCAGCCGCGGUAAUAC